AUGGCUCAGACAAACGCUGGCGGCGUGCCUAAUACAUGCAAGUCUAACGGGUAGCAAUAUCAGUGGCGCACGGGUGAGGAAUAUAUGGGUAAUCUGCCCUCGAGUCGGGGAUAACCAGUCGAAAGACUGGCUAAUACCGGAUAAGACCACAAGAUCUGCGGAUCUAGGGGUUAAAGGAGCAAUCCGCUAUGAGAUGGGCCCGCGGCGCAUUAGCUAGUUGGUGAGGUAACGGCUCACCAAGGCGACGAUGCGUAGCCGACCUGAGAGGGUGAUCGGCCACAUUGGGACUGAGACACGGCCCAGACUCCUACGGGAGGCAGCAGUGGGAAUAUUGCACAAUGGGGGAAACCCUGAUGCAGCAACGCCGCGUGAGUGAUGACGGCCUUCGGGUUGUAAAGCUCUGUCUUCAGGGACGAUAAUGACGGUACCUGAGGAGGAAGCCACGGCUAACUACGUG
rnacentral:rRNA from 1 species